rnacentral:rRNA from 1 species
GAUGAACGCUGGCGGCGUGCCUAAUACAUGCAAGUCGAGCGAACAGACGAGGAGCUUGCUCCUUUGACGUUAGCGGCGGGCGGGUGAGUAACACGUAGGUAACCUACCUAUAAGACUGGGAUAACUUCGGGAAACCGGAGCUAAUACCGGAUAAUAUUUCGAACCGCAUGGUUCGAUAGUGAAAGAUGGCUUUGCUAUCACUUAUAGAUGGACCUGCGCCGUAUUAGCUAGUUGGUAAGGUAACGGCUUACCAAGGCAACGAUACGUAGCCGACCUGAGAGGGUGAUCGGCCACACUGGAACUGAGACACGGUCCAGACUCCUACGGGAGGCAGCAGUAGGGAAUCUUCCGCAAUGGGCGAAAGCCUGACGGAGCAACGCCGCGUGAGUGAUGAAGGUCUUCGGAUCGUAAAACUCUGUUAUUAGGGAAGAACAAACGUGUAAGUAACUGUGCACGUCAUGACGGUACCUAAUCAGAAAGCCACGGCUAACUACGUG